ACCCUGACGCCGCCUCCUUCAGAGCUCGGGACACCUCCAGCUCCCCCUUGGCCACAAUCAUCUGAGACACACAGAAAGAGGUUCUAAGAUACCUGGAGAACCAAGAUCAGGUAAACUGUAUAUUUUUGAGGUGUUAAUAAAAGGGAAUCUGGAAAUGCUGUUCAUCCUCAGAUGUCCUCCUCUAUAGCGAUGCUCACACUGUCUUUUUUAUUAUUACUGUCAGUGUCUAUUAGUGUCUCCACAAUGUUGGUGAACCGACAGAUUGAAACCACUGUUACUUCACAUGACCCGAUGACUGAAAACCCAAAUAAACAUCGGCAUGUUUACCGUC